rnacentral:lncRNA from 1 species
UGAAGUAGAAGGUGCAGUAUGUAAUGUUAUACACAAUCUACAGAACAAGGAUAUUUAUUUAUCUAUGCUCAUACCCUCUUGCAAGUAAAGUCAUAUAUAAGCUGAAAUAGACUUCUGGAUGAAGUUUCCUCCUUCAACUUUAGAAGGUGAGCCACUUUGGAAAAACCAUCAUGGCAUCUAGACACAAUAUCUUCCUCCUUUAUAUCAUCAGAUUUAUUAAUCUCAUUUUGAGUGAGCUUUUCUUUUGAGAGUGCCCACUGCAUUGCCCACUGCAAUGCUCAUACCCUCUUGCAAGUAAAGUCAUAUAUAAGCUGAAAUAGACUUCUGGAUGAAGUUUCCUCCUUCAACUUUAGAAGGUGAGCCACUUUGGAAAAACCAUCAUGGCAUCUAGACACAAUAUCUUCCUCCUUUAUAUCAUCAGAUUUAUUAAUCUCAUUUUGAGUGAGCUUUUCUUUUGAGAGUGCCCACUGCAUUGCCCAUAUGGCUAAUGGGCG